rnacentral:lncRNA from 1 species
GGCCUGGGUGCAUGGUUGGGCCCAUGGCGGGUUGGGCCAAUAUUGGUUCUCGAUUCGGUUCAUCGGAGACGCGUCCCAUCACGAAGGACUACGAAUUAAUUGAAAAGUUCCGGUCGAUAUGAUGAGACGCUAGGACGUGAGCAGGAGCUACCCAUCGGUGGUGGGCUCCGCCCUGGACCGAUUCGUACCAGACUACUAGAGUCUUGUUUGCCGUCUUCUCGAACCAGAUGGGAGCUAAAAAGAGGCGUUUCGAGGGAGGGGGAGAUCCAGCAGUCAAGCUUUAUAAUUGCGGUCAUUUUGAGAGUAAGAAGGGUUCACUAACAGUGGUGGCAGGA